AGGAUGAACGCUGGCGGCGUGCCUAAUGCAUGCAAGUCGAACGCAGGGCCUUCGGGCUGCUGCGUGGCGCACGGCUGAGGAACACGUGGGUCAUCUGCCCUUUGGUGGGGGAUAGCUCGGAGAAAUCCGAAUUAAACCCGCAUACGCUCCGCAAGGAGGAAAGCCGCAAGGUGCCGAAGGAGGAGCCUGCGGCCCAUCAGGUAGUUGGUAGGGUAAUGGCCUACCAAGCCGGUGACGGGUACCUGGUCUGAGAGGACGACCAGGCAGACUGGGACUGAGACACGGCCCAGACUCCUACGGGAGGCAGCAGCAAGGAAUUUUCCCCAAUGGGCGCAAGCCUGAGGGAGCAACGCCGCGUGGAGGAUGACGGCUUUCGGGUUGUAAACUCCGUUUUGGGUGGACGAUAAUGACGGUACCAUCCGAAUAACGCCCGGCUAACUCCGCGCCAGCAGCCGC
rnacentral:rRNA from 1 species